GGGUAACCUGCCCAAGAGAUCGGGAUAACACCUGGGAACAGAUGCUAAUACCGGAUAACAACAGAUGAUGCCUAUCAACUGUUUAAAAGAUGGUUCUGCUAUCACUCUUGGAUGGACCUGCGGUGCAUUAGCUAGUUGGUAGGGUAACGGCCUACCAAGGCGAUGAUGCAUAGCCGAGUUGAGAGACUGAUCGGCCACAUUGGGACUGAGACACGGCCCAAACUCCUACGGGAGGCAGCAGGG
rnacentral:rRNA from 1 species